CGGAGGUCCCUUCGAGGAUCGGAGCUGCCCCGAGAAACUCCUAGGCUAAUCGUCUGAGGGAGGAGAUAAAGCCCUUUCUUCUCCCGGGAAAGUGCAGCGGAGCGCGGGGUGAGCAGAAAGGGACCCUCGGUUCGCAUCCCGCCCGCGCGCCCGCUGGGGAGAGCCGCCGCCGCCGCCGCCGCCGCCGCCCGGCUCCGAGGGAUCCCGCCGGACCGGCCCCGUCCUCUGCGGCUCACUCUGCCCUGCCUGGCGCCGGUCCCGGAUCGCCGGCUCCCCAUGGCUUCCAGCCGCCGCUCGUCUGCACUCACUUUCCCAUCCCGUUCCAGGCUGGCGACUUCGCUGCUGAGCUGAAACUGCUAAUUUCUGUGACCAGCUUUUUUCUUAGCUGUGAUCUGGAUGAAUGAGUAGCUGUCUCACAGAGAUGACAAAAAUAAACUCUAAUCCCCCCAAAAAUUUCC